rnacentral:rRNA from 1 species
UACUGCAUUUUUUCUUACACAUGUGUUUUUCUUUUUUUGAAAACUUUGCUUUGGUAGGCUGCUAUAUGGGGCCUGCCAGAGAUUAAACUCAACCAAAUUUUAUUUAAUGUCAACCGAUUAUUUAAUAGUCAAAACUUUCAACAACGGAUCUCUUGGUUCUCGCAUCGAUGAAGAACGCAGCGAAAUGCGAUAAGUAAUAUGAAUUGCAGAUAUUCGUGAAUCAUCGAAUCUUUGAACGCACAUUGCGCCCUUUGGUAUUCCAAAGGGCAUGCCUGUUUGAGCGUCAUUUCUCCCUCAAACCCUCGGGUUUGGUGUUGAGCGAUACGCUGGGUUUGCUUGAAAGAAAGGCGGAGUAUAAACUAAUGGAUAGGUUUUUUCCACUCAUUGGUACAAACUCCAAAACUUCUUCCAAAUUCGACCUCAAAUCAGGUAGGACUACCCGCUGAACUUAAGCAUAUCAAUAAGCGGAGG